rnacentral:rRNA from 1 species
AGCGAACGCUGGCGGCAGGCUUAACACAUGCAAGUCGAGCGGGCACUUUCGGGUGUCAGCGGCGGACGGGUGAGUAACGCGUGGGAACGUGCCCUCUGGUUCGGAAUAACUCAGGGAAACUUGAGCUAAUACCGGAUACGCCCUUUUGGGGAAAGGCUUGCUGCCGGAGGAUCGGCCCGCGUCUGAUUAGCUAGUUGGUGAGGUAACGGCUCACCAAGGCGACGAUCAGUAGCUGGUCUGAGAGGAUGAUCAGCCACACUGGGACUGAGACACGGCCCAGACUCCUACGGGAGGCAGCAGUGGGGAAUAUUGGACAAUGGGCGCAAGCCUGAUCCAGCCAUGCCGCGUGAGUGAUGAAGGCCUUAGGGUUGUAAAGCUCUUUUAUCCGGGACGAUAAUGGCGGUACCGGAGGAAUAAGCCCCGGCUAACUUCGUG